rnacentral:rRNA from 1 species
CGACCACGGGGAAAAACAAAACCCCCACAUGGACAGGGGCCACAUACACCCUAAAACAUAGACCCACAGGUCAAAUCAACAGUACUUCUGACCACCAAUGACCCGGCGCAAGCCGAUUAAUGAACCUAGUUACCCUAGGGAUAACAGCGCAAUCCCCUCCGACAGCCCUUAUCGACGAGGGGGUUUACGACCUCGAUGUUGGAUCAGGACAUCCUAAUGGUGCAGCCGCUAUUAAGGGUUCGUUUGUUCAACGAUUAAUAGUCCUACGCGAUCUGAGU